GGACGAACGCUGGCGGCGUGCCUAACACAUGCAAGUCGAGCGAGAAUCUUUGGAUUGAAUCCUUCGGGAGGAAAACUGAAGAGGAAAGCGGCGGACGGGUGAGUAACGCGUGAGUAACCUGCCUUUAGGAGGGGGACAACAUUUCGAAAGGAAUGCUAAUACCGCAUAAUAUUAUCGUAUCGCAUGGUAUGGUAAUCAAAGUGUUUAGCGCCUAAAGAUGGACUCGCGUCUGAUUAGCUAGUUGGUGGGGUAAAGGCCUACCAAGGCGACGAUCAGUAGCCGAACUGAGAGGUUGAUCGGCCACAUUGGGACUGAGACACGGCCCAGACUCCUACGGGAGGCAGCAGUGGGGGAUAUUGCGCAAUGGGGGGAACCCUGACGCAGCAACGCCGCGUGAAGGAAGAAGGUUUUCGGAUCGUAAACUUCUUUAAGUGUGGAAGAUAAUGACGGUACACACAGAAUAAGCCACGGCUAACUACGUGCCAGCAGCCGCGGUAA
rnacentral:rRNA from 1 species